AAAGCGUAAGUAAGAAAGAUAAAUCCUAUCGACUUUUAAGCUCAUCGAAAUAUUAGCAUGUUAGAAGAGAAAAGGCGAUACACAAUUUUUCAAGAAGAAGAAUUAAUAACAGAAGCUGGGAAAUGCGCAAUUUUUUUGCUUAAUUUUGGCGUUUCAACAAGUAAGGCGAAUUUUUUAACUAAAACUUUCUUCAAUGCAGAUUAACAACUCGAGAAAGAAUCGUAAAUGUGUGCAUUGAUAAUUUCUUCGGAGAUUGCACCGUUGCCUGCGAAUAUAAUCCGUGCUAAAUUUUUAUGAAGAUGUCUUUGAAAAUACACAAGUGUUCUAUACAGAAAUUGAUUUCGAUUGGCCUUUUGGGUCGUGAUUAAUUUUUUAGCCGUUCUAUAAAAUAUAAUUUUGUUUGGCAUGCUUGGCUUAAUAAACACUUCUAUUAUUGGUGUCGCACAACAAAACUUUUACAGGACCUUACGGUGGAUGAUGAAGCCUCACAGCUAAGCUCGCUGUUUUAAGAUUCCAAUUUAAUGGAGAAUGGUGUGGUAAUGAACACCAAAAUUCUCACGAAUCUCCUGAAGAACCGAAAAAAAUGAUUGAAGAAAGUUUACUAAAAACGACUGGACAUUGCUGGCCGGAUAUCACAAGUUAUCUGUUUAAGUUGCAGCUGUUUGGUGGUUAUACGCUUAAUCAUUUCUUUGCUUUAUCACCUAUGACAUCGAGAUGAAACAUUACCCGAUGAUUGUGUGAUAAAGGUUUUGAGGCGCUAUUCCAACUGCAUUUAAUAAAGUCCAAUGGAAGACUGUUUCUUUAUUUAUUAAUAUUAAG